rnacentral:rRNA from 1 species
AUUGAACGCUGGCGGCAUGCCUUACACAUGCAAGUCGAACGGCAGCACGGGAGCAAUCCUGGUGGCGAGUGGCGAACGGGUGAGUAAUGUAUCGGAACGUACCUUUCAGUGGGGGAUAACGUAGCGAAAGUUACGCUAAUACCGCAUAUUCUGUGAGCAGGAAAGCAGGGGAUCGCAAGACCUUGCGCUGAUUGAGCGGCCGAUAUCAGAUUAGCUAGUUGGUGAGGUAAAGGCUCACCAAGGCGACGAUCUGUAGCGGGUCUGAGAGGAUGAUCCGCCACACUGGAACUGAGACACGGUCCAGACUCCUACGGGAGGCAGCAGUGGGGAAUUUUGGACAAUGGGCGCAAGCCUGAUCCAGCCAUGCCGCGUGAGUGAAGAAGGCCUCGGUUGUAAGG